rnacentral:rRNA from 1 species
CGGCGAGUGAAGCGGCAACAGCUCAAAUUUGAAAUCUGGCUCUAGGGCCCGAGUUGUAAUUUGCAGAGGAUGUUUCUGGCAAGGUGCCUUCCGAGUUCCCUGGAACGGGACGCCAUAGAGGGUGAGAGCCCCGUCUGGUUGGAUGCCGAGCCUCUGUGAAACUCCUUCGACGAGUCGAGUAGUUUGGGAAUGCUGCUCUAAAUGGGAGGUAUACGUCUUCUAAAGCUAAAUACCGGCCAGAGACCGAUAGCGCACAAGUAGAGUGAUCGAAAGAUGAAAAGCACUUUGAAAAGAGGGUUAAAUAGUACGUGAAAUUGUUGAAAGGGAAGCGCUCAUGACCAGACUUGGGCCGGUUGAUCAUCCAUCGUUCUCGGUGGUGCACUCUGCCGGUUCAGGCCAGCAUCAGUUUAUCUCGGGGGACAAAGACGUCGGGAACGUGGCUCUUCCGGGAGUGUUAUAGCCCUUCGUGUAAUACCCUGAAGUAGACUGAGGUACGCGCUCCGCAAGGAUGCUGGCGUAAUGGUCAUCAGCGACCCGUCUUGAAACACGGACCAAGGAGUCGUCUUCGUAUGCGAGUGUUCGGGUGUCAAACCCCUACGCGUAAUGAAAGUGAACGUAGGAGAGAGCUUCGGCGCAUCUCCGACCGAUCCUGAUGUUCUCGGAUGGAUUUGAGUAAGAGCAUACGGGGCCGGACCCGAAAGAAGGUGAACUAUGCCUGUAUAGGGUGAAGCCAGAGGAAACUCUGGUGGAGGCUCGCAGCGGUUCUGACGUGCAAAUCGAUCGUCAAAUAUGGGCAUGGGGGCGAAAGACUAAUCGAACCU